GAUGAACGCUAGCGGCAGGCCUAAUACAUGCAAGUCGAGGGGUAACAUGACGCUUCGGUGUUGAUGACGACCGGCGCACGGGUGCGUAACGCGUAUGCAAUCUACCUACAGCAGAGGGAUAGCCCGUGGAAACAUGGAUUAAUACCUCAUAAUACAGGGGGCCCACCUGGGCAUAUUGUUAAAGAUUUAUCGGCUGUAGAUGAGCAUGCGUCCCAUUAGCUAGUUGGUACGGUAACGGCGUACCAAGGCGAUGAUGGGUAGGGGUUCUGAGAGGAUGAUCCCCCACACUGGUACUGAGAUACGGACCAGACUCCUACGGGAGGCAGCAGUAGGGAAUAUUGGUCAAUGGACGGAAGUCUGAACCAGCCAUGCCGCGUGCAGGAAGACGGCCUUCUGGGUUGUAAACUGCUUUUCUCAGGGAAGAAAGGCUUG
rnacentral:rRNA from 1 species